ACCUGUUUUCGACGUUCAAUGUAUCUAUUCCCAGUUCCCAAAUAAUAUGAAAGGGAAAUAAUAAUAUCUUGUAGCAUGGAAGUUGUUUUUGUCUGAGAAAUAAGAAUUUUUGUAAUUUCAAUUGCAGAAGUACAUGCUCGAUCUUGCUAGUCUUUUCUCUCACAUUCUCGUUGAUGUCAGCAGCGUCAAAAGUUUUAUGUUACCAUUGGUUCCCAGAAGGUUAAAAGUGCUCGGAUCACAUGAACAUGUUUUAAGCUGUUUGUUUUCUUUUUUUAAUUUCAUUAUGUUUAGUUUUGACCUGUAAAUGAUAAAAAGGCUCCUAAAAAGGAGAAGAAGCAUGGAGCCGUACUGGAUGAGAUCAAAGAAAGCAUAACCGAGUUCAAAUAUUACAAGGAACAUGCAUUCAGAUCAUCAAAGUCUAAGAGUUUCGCGUGCAAUCAAAUGGCUCAAGAACGAUUGAUUAAUCAAAGACGACAAAUUAAACCAAUGAUUCCAAGAACAUAGUUCUUCUCAAUAAAAUUCAAUCAAAAACUCCCCUGAUCAAUAACCCUAGAUAUCCUAUUUAUAGGAUAUGAAUGAUAAUUAAAAAGGUAACUAAAUAAGAUAAUAUAUGAAAU